rnacentral:lncRNA from 1 species
AUAGAAGAUGAAUUUCUUUAUGUGGGAUAAUUUUCUUUUUAGUUUUGAUGUGAUUUCAGGAGCUCUCCUGAAGAAUAGGGCGAAUAAAUGAAAAGUCAAGCAACAUGGUGAAGAAUUUGAAAUUCAAGAAACAAGGUGAAGAAAUUGAACGUCAAUGGAUCAAAAAAUAGCAAGUCAAGAAUCGGCCUGAAGAAUAGGGUGAAGAAACAGCAAGUCAGGUGCCCGGCUGAAGAAUAUGGUGAUGAAGUAGCGAGUCAAGAGUAGGAAAGCUGAAAAGAUAGAUUUUUUGUACUUUAAUUUAUGUUUUAGCUUGUAAUUUUCAUUUUGAUGGAAUGAAAGAGCCGCAGACCGGAACCUCGACAACGACCUCACUCGACUCUUCAACUCAGUUGUCCUUAUUCCUUCUGUUUCUUCCUUUGAAUAAUGGUCGGGACAAAAUUCUUUCUUGUUAUCUACUUCUUUGU